rnacentral:tRNA from 1 species
GGGUGGGUUAGCUCAGUGGUUAGAGCUUAGGUCUUAGGAUCGGAAGGUCCCGGGAUCGAAUUCCGUCAGAGGCA